UCCAUGUGGAACAAGAAACAGAGACAAAUGUAGCUUAUAAUCUUCUGCAAGGGGCUGCUUGGGACAAACCAAACAAAAAGCCUGACUGUAGCUUGAUGGUUAUUUUGAAUGGAUUUCUUUUCUUUUGAAAGAAAACACUGCAGAACAACUUUUUUGUUGGGACAGUACUCCACUAGCAACCUUCAAUCCUGCUGGCCUGCCAGUCCAAUGUAACAAACACAUGGCAGCUUCAGAUAUCUUCAGCUCCUCCAGCGUGGAAAAUAAACCAGCAGGUGGUGAGAAGAAAACCUCCAUCAACUCCCCCACUGAGAAGGCUACAGCAUGGUUGCCCUUGAUGGGUGCAAAGAGUGAAAUGUCCUGAACUCUAGUCCUGGCCCCCAGAAGAAGCUUCCACAAAACCUUCUCUGAUCCAAGACUAACAGGAUGUGAUGGAGUAAUCACAGUGUGCACCUGCACCCAGGAAAAGCCACUAGCAACACAAUGGGUGGAGCCACAGACAGUGACACCCGGGAAAGGAUGAUUCACAGGUCAGCAAAGCAGGUUUAUUGCAAAGAGUUCCUGCUAAUUGAUCAGCUCUUCAGCUUGAAGAUGAUCCAGCCUGCACACCCAGGUUUUCAUGCAGUAGAAAGCAGUGUGGAGAUGUGAGGUACGGGAGAACUGGGGGAAGAAUGCACGGAUGUUUCAGUGUCAGGACCUGUCCAGAGCUCAU